CAGUCGAACGAGCGAGAGAGAGCUUGCUUUCUCGAGCGAGUGGCGAACGGCUGAGUAACGCGUGAGGAACCUGCCUCAAAGAGGGGGACAACAGUUGGAAACGACUGCUAAUACCGCAUAAGCCCACGGCUCGGCAUCGAGCAGAGGGAAAAGGAGCAAUCCGCUUUGAGAUGGCCUCGCGUCCGAUUAGCUAGUUGGUGAGGUAACGGCCCACCAAGGCAGCGAUCGGUAGCCGGACUGAGAGGUUGAACGGCCACAUUGGGACUGAGACACGGCCCAGACUCCUACGGGAGGCAGCAGUGGGGAAUAUUGCACAAUGGGGGAAACCCUGAUGCAGCGACGCCGCGUGGAGGAAGAAGGUCUUCGGAUUGUAAACUCCUGUUGUUGGGGAAGAUAAUGACGGUACCCGACAAGGAAGUGACGGCUAACUACGUGCCAGCAGCCGCGGUAAAACGUAGGUCACAAGCGUUGUCCGGAAUUACUGGGUGUAAAGGGAGCGCAGGCGGGAAGACAAGUUGGAAGUGAAAUCUAUGGGCUCAACCCAUAAACUGCUUUCAAAACUGUUUUUCUUGAGUAGUGCAGAGGUAGGCGGAAUUCCCGGUGUAGCGGUGGAAUGCGUAGAUAUCGGGAGGAACACCAGUGGCGAAGGCGGCCUACUGGGCACCAACUGACGCUGAGGCUCGAAAGUGUGGGUAGCAAACAG
rnacentral:rRNA from 1 species